GGAGAUGGGGUUCUCCGGCUCCGCCUUGGAGGCGAAGGGGGGAAAAAAAACAAUUGAGACUCGUGCUGGAAGGCAGGUCUCAGAUGUUAGCCAUCGCCUUGGCUCCUUCUCUGUGCAAGGUGUUUGUCAAAGAGCUGCGAUGUGCCGGAUGCUGGAGGACAGUGAUUUACAAGAUCGAGUCUUUGCUGCUAAUGAGCUCACAGUCUUGAGGAAAGACAGUGAGUUCCAUCUGGAAAGACCUCUAAAACCACAUGGUAAGUGUUACUGGGGGACAGAAAAAAAGAUUUUUAUUGAGUGCUUUCUCAGCAGAGUCUGAACAGGGCACUAUCUAAUCCUCCAACAACUCUGUAAGAGAGAAAAUAUUAUCAUUCCCACUUUACAGAUGAGACAACCUGUCUGAGAGAUGCUAAGGAGCUUGUUCAAGGUCAAGGAUAAGAGGAUGUUCCUAUGUUGGGGAUGCAUGUAAUGUACACACAUCCUCCCAUUUAGGCAUGGAAAGUUAAGCCACAUUUUAAACGGAAGGAAAUCAGAGAAGGACAUUCUAGGCAGAGCAAAACAGGAUCAAAAGCUGAGAGAUCAAAAAAUUAUGGCUUGUUU